AGCCUUCCGUCCUUUCGAGGUUCUCCAGCGAGCGCUGGAGCUAAGAGGGAACGUGGUCCAAGCCACGGCUGCCCCCGCAACUGUAAGCAGCUGAUGCCCUGUCCACAGCCACUGCCCACGGGCGGGAAGGCGGACCCGGCGGCGCCCCGCGCCAGGCUGCGAGCCAGGAGACCUGCCUCGGCGAAUUUCCAGAC
rnacentral:ncRNA from 2 species